rnacentral:rRNA from 1 species
GGAUUAGAUACCCUGGUAGUCCACGCCGUAAACGAUGAUAACUAGAUUCGGGAGGUUUCAACGCCCUCCGAGUCGUAGGGAAACCGUUAAGUUAUCCGCCUGGGGAGUACGGUCGCAAGAUUAAAACUCAAAGGAAUUGACGGGGGCUCACACAAGCGGUGGAGCAUGUGGCUUAAUUCGAGGCAACGCGAAGAACCUUAUCCUGGGUUUGACAUGUAUGGAUUAACUCUCUGAAAAGAGAGCCACGCUGCUUGCAGUGGAACAUACACAGGUGCUGCAUGGCUGUCGUCAGCUCGUGCCG